UCAAAAAAGCAAUUUUUUUUUUUUAAUGUAGGACUUGAAGGAGAAGAAGCUCCUUGAGGAGAAGGAAAAUGGAAAAGAUGCCACUAAUGGAAAGGAGAAUGAAGAGAAUGGAGAGCCUGAAAUUGAUGAUGAAGAGGAUGAUGAGGUGGAUGAGGAAGAGGAAGAGGAAGGAGAGGGUGAUGAAGAGGACGAGGAUGAAGAUGAUGAUGAGCUAGGUGGAGGAACAAAACGGACUGCUGAAGAUGACGAUGAAGAUGAGGAGGAUGAUGUUGACCCCAAGAAGCAGAAGAAAGAUGAUUAAAGGAUUUUCAUAUUGCUGAGCAGGUGUAGACGCCUCCGCUUUAACCCAAACUGUUGGAGCCAGUGGCAUAAAGGACUCAAAUACAUAAAACAUGGUCAUUUUCAAGUUUGUCCCCCAUGUCAACCAACUUCACCCCCAAUUAAAAGUUUUCUAGAGAACCGACCACAACUCAGAUUUUCAGCGUUCACAACGAAAUACGCAAGACAAGGAUUUGUUUGUAUUUUUAUUUACAUUUUAUAUUUUUGUACAUAUUGUGAAGAGAUCAGCCACUUUAUCAUGAUCUCCUGUGACCAAAA